GACGAACGCUGGCGGCGUGCUUAACACAUGCAAGUCGAACGGUGAACUCCGCUUGCGGGGGGAUCAGUGGCGAACGGGUGAGUAACACGUGGGCAACCUGCCCUCAGCUCUGGGAUAACUCCAAGAAAUUGGGGCUAAUACCGGAUAUGACCGCUGACCGCAUGGUCUGGUGGUGGAAAGAUUUAUCGGCUGGGGCUGGGCCCGCGGCCUAUCAGCUUGUCGGUGGGGUAGUGGCCUACCAAGGCGACGACGGGUAGCCGGCCUGAGAGGGGGACCGGCCACGCUGGGACGGGGACGAGGCACGGACUACUACGGGAGGCAGCAGAGGGGAAUAUUACGCAAUGGAAGGAAGCCAGACGCAGCGACGCCGCGUGGGGGAAGACGGCCUUCGGGUUGUAAACCUCUUUCAGCAGGGACGAAACGAAAAUGACGGUACCUGCAGAAGAAGCUCCGGCCAACUACGUG
rnacentral:rRNA from 1 species